rnacentral:rRNA from 1 species
GACAGAGGGGGCAAGCGUUGCUCGGAAUCACUGGGCGUAAAGGGCGCGUAGGCGGGAUGGCAAGUCAGUCGUGAAAUCUCUCGGCUCAACCGAGAAACGUCGGCUGAUACUGCCGUUCUUGAGGGAUGCAGAGGAGACUGGAAUUCCCGGUGUAGCGGUGAAAUGUGUAGAGAUCGGGAGGAACGCCGGUGGCGAAGGCGGGUCUCUGGGCAUUUCCUGACGCUGAGGAGCGAAAGCCAGGGGAGCAAACGGG